GUUUACAAUGAGGAGUUAUCUAACUGAAC
rnacentral:piRNA from 1 species